rnacentral:rRNA from 1 species
AUUGAACGCUGGCGGCAGGCUUAACACAUGCAAGUCGAACGAGUGGCGGACGGGUGAGUAAUGCUUGGGAAUCUAGCUUCUGGAGGGGGAUAACUACGGGAAACUGUAGCUAAUACCGCGUCCCAUAGUAUGAGCCCAAGUGGGAUUAGGUAGUUGGUGAGGUAAAGGCUCACCAAGCCGACGAUCUCUAGCUGGUCUGAGAGGAUGACAGGCCAAACUGGGACUGAGACACGGCCCAGACUCCUACGAGAGGCAGCAGUGGGGAAUAUUGCGCAAUGGGGGCAACCUGACGCAGCCAUGCCGCGUGAAUGAAGAAGGCCUUCGGGUUGUAAAGUUCUUUCGGUAGCGAGGCGUUAACUACAGAAGAAGCACCGGCUAACUCCGUGCCAGCAGCCGCGGUAAUUC